rnacentral:rRNA from 1 species
CAGCGUCACGAGUAGCAACCAUAUUUAUUGGGCCUAAAGCGUCCGUAGCCGGUUUGAUAAGUCUUUUGUGAAAUCGUUGCGCUCAACGUAACGUUGUGCAAGAGAUACUGUCAGACUUGGAAUUGGGAAGAGUUAGAGGUAUUCUGGGGGGAGCGGUAAAAUGCUAUAAUCCCUGGAGGACCACCAGUGGCGAAAGCGUCUAACUAGAACAACUUCGACGGUGAGGGACGAAAGCCAGGGGAGCAAAACGGAUUAGAGACCCGAGUAGUCC